rnacentral:rRNA from 1 species
UGGAGCUGAAAUCAGUCGAAGAUACCAGCUGGCUGCAACUGUUUAUUAAAAACACAGCACUGUGCAAACACGAAAGUGGACGUAUACGGUGUGACGCCUGCCCGGUGCCGGAAGGUUAAUUGAUGGGGUUAUCCGUAAGGAGAAGCUCUUGAUCGAAGCCCCGGUAAACGGCGGCCGUAACUAUAACGGUCCUAAGGUAGCGAAAUUCCUUGUCGGGUAAGUUCCGACCUGCACGAAUGGCGUAAUGAUGGCCAGGCUGUCUCCACCCGAGACUCAGUGAAAUUGAACUCGCUGUGAAGAUGCAGUGUACCCGCGGCAAGACGGAAAGACCCCGUGAACCUUUACUAUAGCUUGACACUGAACACUGGUCCUUGAUGUGUAGGAUAGGUGGGAGGCUUUGAAGUGUGGACGCCAGUCUGCAUGGAGCCAUCCUUGAAAUACCACCCUUUAAUGGCUGGUGUUCUAACGUGGGCCCCUAAUCGGGGUUGCGGACAGUGUCUGGUGGGUAGUUUGACUGGGGCGGUCUCCUCCCAAAGAGUAACGGAGGAGCACGAAGGUUAGCUAAUCCUGGUCGGACAUCAGGAGGUUAGUGCAAAGGCAUAAGCUAGCUUGACUGCGAGAGUGACGGCUCGAGCAGGUGCGAAAGCAGGUCUUAGUGAUCCGGUGGUUCUGAAUGGAAGGGCCAUCGCUCAACGGAUAAAAGGUACUCCGGGGAUAACAGGCUGAUACCGCCCAAGAGUUCAUAUCGACGGCGGUGUUUGGCACCUCGAUGUCGGCUCAUCACAUCCUGGGGCUGAAGUAGGUCCCAAGGGUAUGGCUGUUCGCCAUUUAAAGUGGUACGCGAGCUGGGUUUAGAACGUCGUGAGACAGUUCGGUCCCUAUCUGCCGUGGGCGCUGGAGAAUUGAGGGGGGCUGCUCCUAGUACGAGAGGACCGGAGUGGACGCAUCACUGGUGUUCGGGUUGUCAUGCCAAUGGCACUGCCCGGUAGCUAAAUGCGGAAAAGAUAAGUGCUGAAAGCAUCUAAGCACGAAACUUGCCCCGAGAUGAGUUCUCCCUGAGACUUUAAGUCUCCUGAAGGAACGUUGAAGACGACGACGUUGAUAGGUCGGGUGUGUAAGUGUAGCGAUACAUUGAGCUAACCGAUACUAAUGAACCGUGAGGCUUAACCUUACAACGCCGAAG